rnacentral:rRNA from 1 species
GGGGAAUCUUCCGCAAUGGGCGAAAGCCUGACGGAGCAAUACCGCGUGAGGGAAGACUGCCUAUGGGUUGUAAACCUCUUUUUUCAGGGAGGAACAAAAUGACGUGUACCUGAAGAAUAAGCAUCGGCUAACUCCGUGCCAGCAGCCGCGGUAAGACGGAGGAUGCAAGUGUUAUCCGGAACCACUGGGCGCAAAGCGUCUGUAGGUGGUUUAAUAAGUCAACUGUUAAAUCUUGAGGCUCAACUUCAAAAUCGCAGUCGAAACUAUUAGACUAGAGUAUAGUAGAGGUAAAGGGAAAUUCCAGUGGAGCGGUGAAAUGCGUAGAUAUUGGAAAGAACACCGAUGGCGAAAGCACUUUACUGGGCUAUUACUAACACUCAGAGACGAAAGCUAGGGUAGCAAAUGGGAUUCGAUACCCCAGUAGUC